CUUUCAGCUUUGAGGAUAAUACCUCUACAAUAUCCAUGAGCUACUCAAUAUAGCAAAGAUAAUUCCUACGAAGGCAGCUAAAUCAAAAUACAAAAGAGUCGACCAAUCUCAAAUAGGAAACCAAUUAUUGAACCAGAGGAUAAUACCAUUCUCCAAAUUAUAUUGAAAAUUAAUGCUAAAAGUAGAAGUAAGAAAGGGGAAGAAUAAACCUAUUAAGUCCCAAAAUUCUAUUAAGGUUUUGAGAAUCAAUAGAUACAAACUCCCAAUCCACAAAACCUGUCCGAGAAAACAGCAGCAAAUUCGGAUAGGAAUUCCGAAGUUAAACCUUGAGCGGCACCCAAGCUCGUCAGCUCCAAACGGGUCUCUCACGAAAUCCAUUUGUGAAACCAGAAUCGAAUAAGAAGAGAAACUCGAGCUACUUUGGCGUUUUUUUCCUGAAAUCUGAGCCAACCUCAAAUUAAAAUUGAAAUUCAAAAACGGUAAAAAGAAGAAGAAAACUUUGUUUGAAAAUCGAAAAUUUGAAGAUGAAGAUCAAAGGUUGCUAGGGCUGUUCGUUCUCCCUUGUUGAGGCUGUGUGUGAGUGUAACAGCUGCUUCAUUUCUUUGAAGAAGAAGGUUGAAGAAAGAGAAAAAAGCUGCGCUCACUCUCGAAUGGGGAAGGGAUCUGAUGUGUGUGUAUUGAAGAAGCUGAAGAGCGAGAAGGAAAGGGUUCGAGUACGUUGAUGGAGACGACGACAAAAGGGGACGAGGUUGCGUCUCUCUAUAAAGGGUGU
rnacentral:lncRNA from 1 species